rnacentral:lncRNA from 1 species
UCCUCCAGAUGCCAAGUUACCAGCAAACCACUUCCAGUAACCAUCUCUGUCCUUCUUAAAGUUGAAAAGCCUUUUGAAGUAAUCUUUGAAGGCAAAGUUCAAGGCCUACAAUGGACAAAAAGGGAGGUUAGCACAAAUUUAUCUUUUCUCAAAAGCUAAAAUUAUGAAAUUCAACCAACCUGAGUGGGGAAGUAACGGAUAACAUUGGCAGUGUUUCCUCUCCAUAGAGAACCAAAUCCUUCAUCCUUUAUCGUCCUGCCGAAACAGUCACCAAUACCCUUGUAGGGUUCAGAAAGCCUACCAGCUUUAAUCAUCUCAUCCUGGUUCUGGAUCAAAAGCUUAACACGCUCAAUAGGAGCAGCAGCAGUCUUUGAGACGGCAGCAGAAACACCACCCAUCAGAAAGUCAAGGGCAAAGUUAGUGAACCCUUUCUCUCCUGGAGUUUGAACAAACACGGGAGAAGCAGUGGUUGCCAGCAUCCGGGAUGAUG